UAAAUGCUGGGUAUAUUGAAGAAUCUACCAGCCUUUGGAAUUCUCCUGCAUUUGUUAUUAAAAAGAAGUCUGUAAAAAUGUAGAAUGCUGAUAGACCUGAGAGACUUAAAUAAGUCAAACCCAGCACCAGGGAGUCCCCCAGAUGACCACUCAGACAGUUAGCAGCCAAUUGAAAGUCUCACCCAGUCAGCUGGGACUACACUCAGGGAUUCAGCGACCCAAUCGUAGCACUGAGUGUCCAGAGGAAAGGUUCUUUGAAGAGACGUGCUGUCAUAUGGACCCAAAACCAUGAAGACGAUUGGUCCUGCGUUCACGGCUGAACCAUCUGAGACUGUGAACCACAGAAUAAACCCUUUUCCUUUA